rnacentral:rRNA from 1 species
AACGAACGCUGGCGGCAUGCCUAACACAUGCAAGUCGAACGAGACCUUCGGGCUUAGUGGCGCAUGGGGGCGUAACGGGGGGGAAAAUGCCUAUAGGUCUGGAAUAACUCCCCGAAAGGGGUGCUAAUACCGGAUAAUGUCCUCGGACCAAAGAUUUAUCGCCUUUGGAUGGGCCUACGUUGGAUUGGCUAGUGGGUAGGGUAAAAGCGUACAAAGGCGACGUGCCAUAGCUGGCCUGAGAGGAUGCUCAGCGACACUGGGGCUGGGAGACGGCCCGAACUCCUACGGAAGGGAGCAGUGGGGAAUAUGGGACAAUGGGCGAAUGCCUGAGCCAGCAAGGCCGCGAAAGUGAUGAAGGCGUGAGGGUUGUAAAGCUCUUUUACCCGUGAUGUUAAUGACAGUCCCGGAAGAAUAGGCCCCGCCUAACUCCGU